rnacentral:rRNA from 1 species
UACGUAGGGAGCAAGCGUUACUCGGAAUCACUGGGCAUAAAGGGCGUGUAGGCGGGUGCGCAAGUCCGAUGUGAAAACCCUCGGCUCAACUGGGGAAUGGCAUUGGAUACUGCGUGUCUUGAGUGUGGGAGGGGAGAGUGGAACUCUUGGUGGAGCGGUGAAAUGCGUAGAUAUCAAGAGGAACGCCGGUGGCGAAAGCGGCUCUCUGGCCCAUUACUGACGCUGAGGCGCGAAAGCUAGGGGAG